GGCCUGUUAGCUCAGUUGGUUAGAGUGUGGUGCUGACAACACCAAGGUUGCCGGUUUGAUCCCCGCACGGGCAA